rnacentral:lncRNA from 10 species
GGCUAAGUGUGGGCAGUUUUGUGGAGGAUGUGACACCUGAGCGGGCUUUGAAGGCGAGGUGAAGUGGUGGACACUGCUGAUUUCUUCUGAAACAGCAACUUCAAUCUGAGAGAGAGGCUGCAGCUGAGAUGGAAGUCCCAUGAGUCUGUGUCUGGAAGAUCAAGAAAGGGCAAGAAUGGAAGGUGCUUCUCAGCUUGGGUCUCCAUGGGAGCCACACCCAGGCUAAAGGAGAUGAGAAGACAGGGGAAAAGAGAGGCUGGUGGAAAACAAAACAGCAGCAGUGGUGGCAACGGCACUGAGCCAGAUGAAAGCACAGUGAUUUCUUGGAUGAAAUUGAUUCUCUUUGAGCCUCUCACCCCGAAUGCAACUCAGAGCAGAAGGGUCAGCAAAUAUUUUUUUUCCCCAGCAGACUGUCUCUCUCAUCUGAUGAGAAGUGUCCAUGAAACUCUCAGAUCUGGCAUUUGUGCAUGCAUGUGCAUGUGUGCUCAUGUGUGUGCAUGUGCGUCCAUGUGCAUGUGUGUGCACGUGCGUGCUUGUGUGCACAGGUCUGUGUGUGUGUGGGUGCAUGUUUGGGCAUGUCUGUGCAUGUGCAUGCAUGUGUGUGCAUGUCUGCAUGUAUGUGCUUGUGUGUGCAUGCAUGUCUCUGCAUGUGCAUCCAUGUCUGUGUAUGUGUGUGCAUGUGUGUGCAUGUGUGUGAGAUGAAUUUGGUGAAUCAGAAGGAAUCCAGG